CCUACGGGCGGCAGCAGUGAGGAAUAUUGGUCAAUGGGCGCUAGCCUGAACCAGCCAAGUAGCGUGAAGGAUGACUGCCCUACGGGUUGUAAACUUCUUUUAUAAAGGAAUAAAGUGCAGCAUGUAUGCCUCUUUGCAUGUACUUUAUGAAUAAGGAUCGGCUAACUCCGUGCCAGCAGCCGCGGUAAUACGGAGGAUCCGAGCGUUAUCCGGAUUUAUUGGGUUUAAAGGGAGCGUAGGUGGGUUGUUAAGUCAGUUGUGAAAGUUUGCGGCUCAACCGUAAAAUUGCAAUUGAUACUGGCAGUCUUGAGUACAGUAGAGGUAGGCGGAAUUCGUGGUGUAGCGGUGAAAUGCUUAGAUAUCACGAAGAACUCCGAUUGCGAAGGCAGCUUACUAAACUGCCACUGACAUUGAUGCUCGAAAGUGUGGGUAUCAAACAGGAUUAGAUACCCCAGUAGUC
rnacentral:rRNA from 1 species